rnacentral:rRNA from 1 species
AUCAUCAGUGGCGAAGGCGGGCUGUCUGGUCUGUAACUGACGCUGAGGGCUCGAAAGCAUGGGUAGCGAACAGGAUUAGAUAUCCUGGUAGUCCCAUGCCGUAAACGAUGAUUACUAAGUGUUGGAGGGUUUCCGCCCUUCAGUGCUGCAGCUAACGCAUUAAGUAAUCCGCCUGGGGAGUACGACCGCAAGGUUGAAACUCAAAAGAAUUGACGGGGGCCCGCACAAGCGGUGGAGCAUGUGGUUUAAUUCGAAGCUACGCGAAGAACCUUACCAGGUCUUGACAUCUUCUGCCAACCUAAGAGAUUAGGCGUUCCCUUCGGGGACAGAAUGACAGGUGGUGCAUGGUUGUCGUCAGCUCGUGUCGUGAGAUGUUGGGUUAAGUCCCGCAACGAGCGCAACCCUUAUUACUAGUUGCCAGCAUUCAGUUGGGCACUCUAGUGAGACUGCCGGUGACAAACCGGAGGAAGGUGGGGACGACGUCAAAUCAUCAUGCCCCUUAUGACCUGGGCUACACACGUGCUACAAUGGAUGGUACAACGAGUCGCGAAACCGCGAGGUUUAGCUAAUCUCUUAAAACCAUUCUCAGUUCGGACUGUAGGCUGCAACUCGCCUACACGAAGUCGGAAUCGCUAGUAAUCGCGGAUCAGCAUGCCGCGGUGAAUACGUUCCCGGGCCUUGUACACACCGCCCGUCACACCAUGAGAGUUUGUAACACCCAAAGCCGGUGGGG